CCUUAAUUCCGGUGGAUCUCUUGGCAUCGAUGAAGAACGCAGCCAGGUGCGAUAAAGUAGUGUGAAUUGCAGAAUUCAGUGAAUCAUCGAAUCUUAUACAGAUACACAGAGCGUGGUUUCGGAGGGUAGCCCCCCGACCCCCCCACCCAAGGGACG
rnacentral:rRNA from 2 species